AAGGCGGUGGUUCGGGCGCUCCCCCCCGACUUAAAGUUUAAGUCCACCCCUGGCGGAAACGCGAGGGAGCCCGAAAACGGGAGCCUGCGGCUUAAUUUGACUCAACACGGGGAAACUCACCAGGUCCAGAUGAAAUAAGGAUUGACAGAUUGAGAGCUCUUUCUUGAUUUUUCAGGUGGUGGUGCAUGGCCGUUCUUAGUUCGUGGGGUGACUUGUCUGCUUAAUUGCGAUAACGAACGAGACCUUAACCUGCUAAAUAGCCAGGCUAGCUUUGGCUGGUCGCCGGCUUCUUAGAGGGACUAUCGGCUCAAGCCGAUGGAAGUUUGAGGCAAUAACAGGUCUGUGAUGCCCUUAGAUGUUCUGGGCCGCACGCGCGCUACACUGACAGAGCCAACGAGUUCUUUCCCUUGGCCGAAAGGCCUGGGUAAUCUUGUUAAACUCUGUCGUGCUGGGGAUAGAGCAUUGCAAUUAUUGCUCUUCAACGAGGAAUGCCUAGUAAGCGCGUGUCAUCAGCACGCGUUGAUUACGUCCCUGCCCUUUGUACACACCGCCCGUCGCUACUACCGAUUGAAUGGCUCAGUGAGGCCUUCGGACUGGCUCGGGGAGGUUGGCAACGACCACCCCAAGCCGGAAAGUUGUCCAAACUCGGUCAUUUAGAGGAAGUAAAAGUCGUAACAAGGUUGAUUCGUUCGCAGGAACUCUUGCGGAAGCCUUUGCAGCUGGAGACAGUAGCCCAAACGACGUAAAACAAGUUGGUGCCUCAUGCAAGUCAGCUUCGGCUGGCGACACUUUCGAAUUGCGGGGAACCCCUAAGAGCCCUCCACACCAAACCAGCGCGGGAAACCCGCUGGCGGCCCAUUGGAAACCAUGGGGUACGGUAACAGUUGGAGGGAUGAUCCUGCGCCGCGAGGCGUUUGGUGAAAUGGGCAAUCCGCAGCGAAGCCCCUGACGUUGAUGGUGGCGACCUCCGAGCUCUGCUCGGACUGGGAUCUGUCGAGGGCUUAGCCCCCCAACUUGUCCCUUUCGCAGCCAAACAUGGGGAACGUUCACAGACUAAGCGGAAGUGGGUGGAGUGCUUUUGCAGCUCUCUGCUUAAGAUAUAGUCGGCCC
rnacentral:rRNA from 1 species